UCUGCAGCUGCUCUCGGAGGUGGGUACCAGCCAGGAGGAAGGGGCGGGGUCAGGCCUGGCUCCAGGGGGCACUGGGCACAGCAGCCCCUGAGGAGGUGGGAGGAGGGGGAGGGGGAGGGGGAGGAAGAGGAGGACUUUGCCACAGAAGGACAGGCUCCGUGGCUGCCGGCAUUUGUGAAUGGAGUGUGCCUGCCCGGCCUCCCAAAUGUGACAUGCGUGGAAGUCAUGACAGGGCAGUGCACAGGGAUGCCAGGACCAAGGCAGGGCACACUCUCAGAGGGCACUCGGAUUAGCACCUUGCACUGUGGGCUGCGGGUGCCACCCUCGGGAACAGGGCAGCUGGGCUGGCUAGGCCUUGGCUCCUGCCUCAGGGUGGCCCAGGAGAUUGCACUGAGAUGCUCUUGGGCUUCUGUGCCCCAUGUGCCGGGCAGGGGAUAGGAAGUCGCAGGAGGCCUCCAGUUGCACCUACAAACCAUUUCCCAGUGAUGUCUGGCAUACGGGGCAAUAAAGCACCACGCACGGGAACAGGGAGACCCAACCCACCCAGAACGACCCGCCACAGCCCAAGAACCAGCUCGGCCAGACCUCUGUGCCUGUCACGUGUACAGAAAUAAAAGCCAAACGUGGAAAUUCGGGCAGGGACUGCACAACGUGACCUGCAAAGUGACUGGGUAAGUCUGGGACACAAAAACCUGGACAAAACUGCGGCUGAAUAAUUAUAAAGAGAAGAUGACUGGAAGAAGCAACCCAGACAUAACAGAGGAGAUGGAAACAGAACCCAGCACACCCCGCCUCAGCGUACAUCCCCAGUGAGGUGCUCUUGGGACAUGGGGGUGGGAUCUUCAGGAGGGGGGACCUAGCACGGGGCCCUGAACUUACGAGCUCAAUCCACCCUUGAGGGCUGGUCGUAACUCAAGUUGGUUGUAAGUCAAGACUAUUUUUCCCAUAAGAAAUAAUGGAAAUGCCCGUAAUGUAUUCUGAACCUCCCAAGGCACCCCAUAACCAACCUUUCUAUAAUAGAAAGGGUUGUAUAAUGUGCAUAAUUUACCAGAUACAACAAUGAUUUUCCUAGAGUACUCACCAAAAAGUUAUCAACUGUGUCCAGUUUACCAGAAACAACAAUUUCAUGCUGUACGCACCAUUCAAGGUGACAUCUUGGCUCGCAGGAAGGCAGGACAAAGCGGAAGGCGGUUACUGUUUGGGCGGAGAGUCCCCUUCCAUAGGAACAUCAGGAACCCGGCUGUCUGGGGUCCCUUCUCUCCUGGGGAGAGUCUGCAGCCCGCUAGGAACGGCUUCCGGCUCACCAGGCCUCAGCCCCUCAGCAGAUUUCCUUUAUUUCACAAGAAGAACUUCGCUGCACUGAUUGUUGAUACUCUCCCUCCUCUUCAAAGAGCUCCUCAGCUGCUGCUCUGUUGCUCAGGCAGAAGUUGCUGAAGUUCCUCUGUAGAUGUUUCCUCUGAGCCCCUCCCCCAGCUCCUCCGCAUCACCGCCGUCCACCCGCAAGCCCGGGCGGGUAGUGACGAUGACUAUUGCAGGCAGUGCAAUGCAAGUAGUGCCUGCUGCAGUGACAAUGACAUCAACCACAGGGUCGGCGGAAGGUCCCGGCUCCUCUACACAGCCUCCCAAGCUCCUCUCCUGCAUAAUUUUAGGCCAUGCUUUCUUCCAGGCAGAUCUCAGUGUCCUUAGAGAGACCCUGGCCCAGGACUCCUCAGUGAACCCCACACAGGAAAGGACAUUGUAAUGUUCCUCCCAGAACUCUGUAAGAGUUGAAUCUGUGUCUGAGACCAUGUGGGAGCACUUCAGGAACAGCUCCUUGGUGUGCAGCUUCUUGAAGUUAGCUGUGACCUGCUGGUCCACAGGCUGCAGGAGAGGAGCUGUAUCAGGCGGGAGGAACUCGACUGAGAGCCACGGGAUUCUUCAGCCAGUUCUUCCUCCAAAUCCCGUAGGUGAGCAGCAGCGCUAUCCAUGACGCGCAGAGCCUUGAGUGGUAAACCUUGCCCUCUAGAUAGUUCUCAACAAUAGAACAGAGAGCCUCUCUGAUCCAUCCAAGAAAAAGUACUCAUUACCUGGCUUUUGUGUCAGAUCUCCACAUGACCCCAGCCUAUGCUUCAUGACUUUUUUUUUUGAACAUUCUUGGGGCCUCAGAGUGAUUCACCAAGAGAGGCUUCAGCCUGAGGUCACCACUCAGAUUGGCACACAGCAGUAAGCUUCGCCUCUCCCUCAUAGGCUUGUGGCCUGGCGUUUUCUUCUCUUCCUGGAUAAUGUACGUUCUCCUGCGCAUUUUGUUCCAUAAAAGGCCAGUUUCGUCACAGUGGAAAACUUGAUGAGAGCAAAA